rnacentral:rRNA from 1 species
UACGUAGGUGGCAAGCGUUGUCCGGAUUUAUUGGGUUUAAAGGGUGCGUAGGCGGCUUGUUAAGUCAGUGGUAAAAGGUAGCAGCUUAACUGUUUUACAUGCCAUUGAUACUGGCAAGCUUGAGAGUUUUGGAGGAUGAUAGAAUUCCUGAUGUAGCGGUGAAAUGCUUAGAUAUCAGGAGGAAUACCAAUUGCGAAGGCAGUCAUCUGUGAAAUUUCUGACGCUGAGGCACGAAAGUGCGGGUAUCAAACAGG